rnacentral:tRNA from 1 species
GGGCUUAUAGCUCAGUCGGUUAGAGCGCACGCCUGAUAAGCGUGAGGUCGGUGGUUC